CCUACGGGUGGCUGCAGUGGGGAAUUUUGGACAAUGGGCGCAAGCCUGAUCCAGCCAUGCCGCGUGUCUGAAGAAGGCCUUCGGGUUGUAAAGGACUUUUGUUAGGGAGCAAGUCCUGCAGGUUAAGAGCCAGUAGGGAUGAGAGUACCUAAAGAAUAAGCACCGGCUAACUACGUGCCAGCAGCCGCGGUAAUACGUAGGGUGCGAGCGUUAAUCGGAAUUACUGGGCGUAAAGGGUGCGCAGGCGGUAUUGUAAGCCAGAUGUGAAAUCCCCGGGCUUAACCUGGGAACUGCGUUUGGAACUGCAAUGCUAGAGUGUGUCAGAGGGGGGUGGAAUUCCACGUGUAGCAGUGAAAUGCGUAGAGAUGUGGAGGAACACCGAUGGCGAAGGCAGCCCCCUGGGAUAACACUGACGCUCAGGCACGAAAGCGUGGGGAGCAAACAGGAUUAGAUACCCGAGUAGUCAG
rnacentral:rRNA from 1 species